GGGCUGGUAGUUCAGCGGUAGAAACGCCCGCUUUGCAGGCGGGAGGUCGCGGGUUCGAUUCCCGCCCAGUCCA
rnacentral:tRNA from 1 species